UACAGAGGUCUCAAGCGUUGUUCGGAUUCAUUGGGCGUAAAGGGUGCGUAGGUGGCGCCGUCAGUCAGAUGUGAAAUCUCGGGGCUCAACCCCGAAACUGCAUUUGAUACUGCGGUGCUCGAGUACUGGAGAGGAGAUUGGAAUUUACGGUGUAGCAGUGAAAUGCGUAGAUAUCGUAAGGAAGACCAGUGGCGAAGGCGAAUCUCUGGACAGUUACUGACACUGAGGCACGAAGGCCAGGGGGAGCAAACGGG
rnacentral:rRNA from 1 species